GGGGGGACCAUCCUCCAAGGCUAAAUACUCCUGACUGACCGAUAGUGAACCAGUACCGUGAGGGAAAGGCGAAAAGAACCCCGGCGAGGGGAGUGAAAAAGAACCUGAAACCGUGUACGUACAAGCAGUGGGAGCACCUUCGGGUGUGACUGCGUACCUUUUGUAUAAUGGGUCAGCGACUUAUAUUCUGUAGCAAGGUUAACCGUAUAGGGGAGCCGCAGGGAAACCGAGUCUUAACUGGGCGUUAAGUUGCAGGGUAUAGACCCGAAACCCGGUGAUCUAGCCAUGGGCAGGUUGAAGGUUGGGUAACACUAACUGGAGGACCGAACCGACUAAUGUUGAAAAAUUAGCGGAUGACUUGUGGCUGGGGGUGAAAGGCCAAUCAAACCGGGAGAUAGCUGGUUCUCCCCGAAAGCUAUUUAGGUAGCGCCUCGUGAACUCAUCUUCGGGGGUAGAGCACUGUUUCGGCUAGGGGGUCAUCCCGACUUACCAACCCGAUGCAAACUACGAAUACCGAAGAAUGUUAUCACGGGAGACACACGGCGGGUGCUAACGUCCGUCGUGAAGAGGGAAACAACCCAGACCGCCAGCUAAGGUCCCAAAGUCAUGGUUAAGUGGGAAACGAUGUGGGAAGGCACAGACAGCCAGGAUGUUGGCUUAGAAGCAGCCAUCAUUUAAAGAAAGCGUAAUAGCUCACUGGUCGAGUCGGCCUGCGCGGAAGAUGUAACGGGGCUAAACCAUGCACCGAAGCUGCGGCAGCGACACUAUGUGUUGUUGGGUAGGGGAGCGUUCUGUAAGCCUGCGAAGGUGACCUGUGAGGGUUGCUGGAGGUAUCAGAAGUGCGAAUGCUGACAUAAGUAACGAUAAAGCGGGUGAAAAGCCCGCUCGCCGGAAGACCAAGGGUUCCUGUCCAACGUUAAUCGGGGCAGGGUGAGUCGACCCCUAAGGCGAGGCCGAAAGGCGUAGUCGAUGGGAAACAGGUUAAUAUUCCUGUACUUGGUGUUACUGCGAAGGGGGGACGGAGAAGGCUAUGUUAGCCGGGCGACGGUUGUCCCGGUUUAAGCAUGUAGGCUGGUUGUCCAGGCAAAUCCGGAUAAUCAAGGCUGAGGUGUGAUGACGAGGUACUACGGUGCUGAAGUAACAAAUGCCCUGCUUCCAGGAAAAGCCUCUAAGCAUCAGGUAACAUUAAAUCGUACCCCAAACCGACACAGGUGGUCAGGUAGAGAAUACCAAGGCGCUUGAGAGAACUCGGGUGAAGGAACUAGGCAAAAUGGUGCCGUAACUUCGGGAGAAGGCACGCUGGUGUGUAGGUGAAGUCCCUGCGGAUGGAGCUGAGACCAGUCGAAGAUACCAGCUGGCUGCAACUGUUUAUUAAAAACACAGCACUGUGCAAACACGAAAGUGGACGUAUACGGUGUGACGCCUGCCCGGUGCCGGAAGGUUAAUUGAUGGGGUUAUCCGUAAGGAGAAGCUCUUGAUCGAAGCCCCGGUAAACGGCGGCCGUAACUAUAACGGUCCUAAGGUAGCGAAAUUCCUUGUCGGGUAAGUUCCGACCUGCACGAAUGGCGUAAUGAUGGCCAGGCUGUCUCCACCCGAGACUCAGUGAAAUUGAACUCGCUGUGAAGAUGCAGUGUACCCGCGGCAAGACGGAAAGACCCCGUGAACCUUUACUAUAGCUUGACACUGAACAUUGAGCCUUGAUGUGUAGGAUAGGUGGGAGGCUUUGAAGCGUGGACGCCAGUCUGCGUGGAGCCAACCUUGAAAUACCACCCUUUAAUGUUUGAUGUUCUAACGUUGGCCCCUGACCGGGGUUGCGGACAGUGUCUGGUGGGUAGUUUGACUGGGGCGGUCUCCUCCCAAAGCGUAACGGAGGAGCACGAAGGUUAGCUAAUCCUGGUCGGACAUCAGGAGGUUAGUGCAAUGGCAUAAGCUAGCUUGACUGCGAGCGUGACGGCGCGAGCAGGUGCGAAAGCAGGUCAUAGUGAUCCGGUGGUUCUGAAUGGAAGGGCCAUCGCUCAACGGAUAAAAGGUACUCCGGGGAUAACAGGCUGAUACCGCCCAAGAGUUCAUAUCGACGGCGGUGUUUGGCACCUCGAUGUCGGCUCAUCACAUCCUGGGGCUGAAGUAGGUCCCAAGGGUAUGGCUGUUCGCCAUUUAAAGUGGUACGCGAGCUGGGUUUAGAACGUCGUGAGACAGUUCGGUCCCUAUCUGCCGUGGGCGCUGGAGAAUUGAGGGGGGCUGCUCCUAGUACGAGAGGACCGGAGUGGACGCAUCACUGGUGUUCGGGUUGUCAUGCCAAUGGCACUGCCCGGUAGCUAAAUGCGGAAGAGAUAAGUGCUGAAAGCAUCUAAGCACGAAACUUGCCCCGAGAUGAGUUCUCCCUGAGACUUUAAGUCUCCUGAAGGAACGUUGAAGACGACGACGUUGAUAGGCCGGGUGUGUAAGCGCAGCGAUGCGUUGAGCUAACCGGUACUAAUGAACCGUGAGGCUUAACCUUACAACGCCGAAG
rnacentral:rRNA from 1 species